AGAGCAUUCGGCUGCCUAAUACAUGCAAGUCGAACGGGAUCCCGCUGUAUCUUGCUACAGCCGGUGAGAGUGGCGCACGGGUGCGUAACGCGUGAGCAACCUGCCCGUCCCAGGGGUAUAGCCCGUUGAAGGACGGAUUAACACCGCCUAACGUAGGGAGCGGGGGGAUCGCUGUACCUCUAUUCUAGGGGACGGAUGGGCUCACUUGACAUUAGCUGGUUGGUAGGGUAACGGCCUACCAAAGCCACAAUGUCUAUGGGCUCUGAAAGGACAAUCCCCCACACUGGUACUGACACACACACCAAACUCCUACGGGAGGGAGGAAUUUUGAAUAUUGGUCAAUGGGGGGAACCCUGAACCCCCCAUGCCGCAUGCAGGACUAAGGCCCUAUGGGUCCUAUACUGCUUUUCUAAAGGAACAACCGCAAUUACGUGUGUCUGUCUGAGUGUACCGUAAGAAUAAAGAUCGGCUAACUCCGUGCCAACACCCGCGGUAAUAUAGAGGAUCCGAGCGUUAUCCGGAUUUAGUGGGUUUAACGGGCGCGUACGCGUCACAUUAAAUCAUGAGUGAACUACGACAUUUCAUUUGUAACUGUGUUUUUGAUACUGAUGUGCUUGAAUAUGGUCGGGGAUGGCAGAAUGGGACAAGUACUGAGAAAUGCAUAGAUAUGUCCCAAAACCCCGAUAGCGAACGCAGCUGUCUAAGCCAACAUUGACUCUGAUGCACGAACGCGUGGAGAUCACAAGAUUAUUAUACCCUGCUCGUCCUCCGCCGCCCCAAAUGUGAUGACCCGAUGGUGGCCGAUCUACCCUUACCGUCCAGCUAACGCGUUAAGUCAUCCGCCUGGGGGAGUACGGUCGCCAGGGUUGAACCUCAAAGGAAUUGACGGGGACCCGCACAAGCGUAGGAGCAUGUGGAUUAAUUUCGAUGAACGCGAAGAACCUUACCCCGCCUUGAAACUCACAGAUCCUCCACAGAGCGGGAGCGGCCUUCAGAAUAGAAACUACGUGCUUCCUUG
rnacentral:rRNA from 1 species